ensembl:lncRNA
GGUGCUCCGUGUGGUCUGCGCGCAGCAGGCCUGCUGGGCCGUGUGUGAAUAUGGAAACAGGGUGCGCCUAAUUAGAGGCGAAAUCCUUCACCAAGCGAGCGGAGCGAGGCUUUGUACGGUGUCGCUUUUCUUCCUGUCAGUCUUUCAGCACGGGGCUAGAUUGGCGUUGGCCCCGGGGUUUGUGGGAACCGAGACAGCCCUUUCACGCAAGCCCCCCUCAGGCCCUGAGGUGACCAACUUAAAACAGGUGACUCGUUUUGGAAGCAAAACAAACACAAGGGGAUUUGGGUUGAAGGCAGCUGUGGAUCCUGCACGCUCAGCUGGUGUGGCACAAAGAAACAGGUGACGACGUCGGGAAGUUUGCCCUGCAAGGGUGCCACCACGUGCUUCUUUCCCCUGGAACGAGCUCUCUCAGUAAAAUCUGCACCUGGCCUGGUGGUCUAGGCAACAUCGGACAACCUCUAGCAGAUGUUCGCCUCUCUUUUGUCGAUGACUUCGCGGUGGCUGCUCCGUGAGACAAAACUAUGGAUCGUCUUGUGGGUUCCUCUGCUGCAGGGAUCAUACAUGAUGGAGCUGUACUCA